CCUACGGGUGGCAGCAGUGGGGAAUAUUGCACAAUGGGGGGAACCCUGAUGCAGCGACGCCGCGUGGGUGAAGGAGGACUUCGGUACGUAAAGCCCUAUCGGCAGGGAAGAAAAUGACGGUACCUGACGAAGAAGCACCGGCUAACUACGUGCCAGCAGCCGCGGUAAUACGGAGGGGGCAAGCGUUAUCCGGAUUUACUGGGUGUAAAGGGAGCGUAGGCGGGAUUGCAAGUCCGAAGUGAAAGCCCGGGGCUUAACCAUGGGACUGCACUUGAAACUGUAAAGCUGGAGUGCGGGAGGGGCAGGCGGAAUUCCUGGUGUAGGGGUGAAAUGCGUAGAUAUCAAGAGGAAUACUGACGGCGAAGGCGGCCUGCUGGACCGUUACUGACGUUGAGGCUCGAAAGCGUGGGGAGCAAACAGGAUUAGAUACCCGUGUAGUC
rnacentral:rRNA from 1 species